GCUGGGCGUAGUGGCACACGCCUGUGAUCCUAGCAGCUCUGGAGACUGAGACAGGAGGAUUGCAAGUUCAAAGCCAGCCUCAGCAAUGACGAGGCACUAAGCAAUUCAGUGAGACCCUGUCUCUA
rnacentral:sRNA from 1 species